rnacentral:pre_miRNA from 1 species
GAGAAGAGACAGGACAAAGGCUGGGAAAAGGCAGAGCAAGAAUGUAGCUAUUGACAGAAAUGGUGAAGUGAGAAUGAGAGGAGAGAGAUAUCUGUUGUGGCUACGCUCAUGCACUGCCUCUUCCCUGGCUCUCUCUCUUUCUUGUUCC